GACGAACGCUGGCGGCGUGCCUAACACAUGCAAGUCGAACGGGCUUAUUUUAGCACUUGUGCUGAAUUAAGCUAGUGGCAGACGGGUGAGUAACGCGUGAGCAAUCUGCCUCAUAGUGGGGAAUAACACUGGGAAACCAGUGCUAAUACCGCAUAACAUGCGACGGGGGCAUCCCUGUUGCAUCAAAGGAGAAAUUCGCUAUGAGAUGAGCUCGCGUCUGAUUAGCUAGUUGGUAGGGUAACGGCCUACCAAGGCGACGAUCAGUAGCCGGACUGAGAGGUUGAACGGCCACAUUGGGACUGAGACACGGCCCAGACUCCUACGGGAGGCAGCAGUGGGGAAUAUUGGGCAAUGGGGGAAACCCUGACCCAGCAACGCCGCGUGAAGGAAGAAGGCUUUCGGGUUGUAAACUUCUUUUAUGUGGAAAGAAACAAAUGACGGUACCAUAUGAAUAANCCACGGCUAACUACGUGCCAGCAGCCGCCGUAACAC
rnacentral:rRNA from 1 species